rnacentral:rRNA from 1 species
GAGCGGUAAGGCCCUUCGGGGUACACGAGCGGCGAACGGGUGAGUAACACGUGGGUGAUCUGCCUCGUACUUCGGGAUAAGCCUGGGAAACUGGGUCUAAUACCGGAUAUGACCUUCGGAUGCAUGUCCGUGGGUGGAAAGAUUUAUCGGUACGAGAUGGGCCCGCGGCCUAUCAGCUUGUUGGUGGGGUAAUGGCCUACCAAGGCGACGACGGGUAGCCGGCCUGAGAGGGCGACCGGCCACACUGGGACUGAGACACGGCCCAGACUCCUACGGGAGGCAGCAGUGGGGAAUAUUGCACAAUGGGCGGAAGCCUGAUGCAGCGACGCCGCGUGAGGGAUGACGGCCUUCGGGUUGUAAACCUCUUUCGACAGGGACGAAGCGCAAGUGACGGUACCUGUAGAAGAAGCACCGGCCAACUACGUGCCAGCAGCCGCGGUAAUACGUAGGGUGCGAGCGUUGUCCGGAAUUACUGGGCGUAAAGAGCUUGUAGGCGGUUCGUCGCGUCGUUCGUGAAAACUUGGGGCUCAACCCCAAGCUUGCGGGCGAUACGGGCGGACUAGAGUACUUCAGGGGAGACUGGAAUUCCUGGUGUAGCGGUGAAAUGCGCAGAUAUCAGGAGGAACACCGGUGGCGAAGGCGGGUCUCUGGGAAGUAACUGACGCUGAGAAGCGAAAGCGUGGGUAGCGAACAGGAUUAGAUACCCUGGUAGUCCACGCCGUAAACGGUGGGUACUAGGUGUGGGUUUCCUUCCACGGGAUCCGUGCCGUAGCUAACGCAUUAAGUACCCCGCCUGGGGAG